UACAGAGGGGGCUAGCGUUAUUCGGAAUUAUUGGGCGUAAAGGGCGCGUAGGCGGCCAUGCGUGUCUUCCGUGAAAUCCCUCGGCUUAACUGAGGACGUGCGGAAGAUACUGCAAGGCUCGAGUCCGGGAGAGGGGGGUGGAAUUCCCAGUGUAGCGGUGAAAUGCGUAGAUAUUGGGAGGAACACCGGUGGCGAAGGCGGCCCCCUGGACCGGUACUGACGCUGAGGCGCGAAAGCGUGGGUAGCAAACGGG
rnacentral:rRNA from 1 species